rnacentral:snoRNA from 1 species
AACCCAUGAUGAGGAUAGGCGGCGACGUAUUCUUGCAGCCUUUCCCAUGCUUCCGAGAUCAUCUCAUCUUUCGUCAGCUGGAAGCAGGAAAUUCAUCCACGAAGGGC